rnacentral:rRNA from 1 species
CGGAAAGCCUGACGCAGCGACGCCGCGUGUGGGAUGAAGGCCUCGGGUUGUAAACCACUGUCGGGAGGGACGAAGAUCUGACGGUACCUCCAAAGGAAGCACCGGCCAACUCUGUGCCAGCAGCCGCGGUAAUACAGAGGGUGCGAGCGUUGUCCGGAAUCACUGGGCGUAAAGGGCGCGUAGGCGGCCCGAUAAGUAGGGGGUGAAAUCUUGCGGCUCAACCGCAAGGCUGCCUUCUAGACUGUCGGGCUUGAGCACAGUAGAGGCAGGUGGAAUUCCCGGUGUAGCGGUGGAAUGCGUAGAGAUCGGGAAGAACAUCGGUGGCGAAGGCGGCCUGCUGGGCUGUUGCUGACGCUGAGGCGCGACAGCGUGGGGAGCAAACAGGAUUAGAUACCCUGGUAGUCCACGCCGUAAACGAUGGGCACUAGGCGUCGGGGGGAGCGACCCUCCCGGUGCCGUCGCUAACGCAGUAAGUGCCCCGCCUGGGGAGUACGGCCGCAAGGCUG